GCGGGAGUAGCUCAGUGGUAGAGUGCUUGCUUCCCAAGCAAGCGAUGCGAGUUCGAUUCUCGUCUCCCGCU
rnacentral:tRNA from 1 species